GCGCUAGUGGUUUAGUGGUAAAAUCUCAGUUUCCCAUACUGAGGCCCCGGGUUCGAUUCCCGGCUGGCGCA
rfam:Kluyveromyces lactis strain NRRL Y-1140 chromosome F complete sequence.